rnacentral:rRNA from 1 species
UUACCUACGGGGGGCAGCAGUAGGGAAUAUUGCUCAAUGGGGGAAACCCUGAAGCAGCAACGCCGCGUGGAGGAUGAAGGUUUUCGGAUUGUAAACUCCUUUUGUUAGAGAAGAUAAUGACGGUAUCUAACGAAUAAGCACCGGCUAACUCCGUGCCAGCAGCCGCGGUAAUACGGAGGGUGCAAGCGUUACUCGGAAUGACUGGGCGUAAAGGGUGUGUAGGCGGUUUAGCAAGUUAGAAGUGAAAUACCUAGAGCUUAACUCAGGUGCUGCUUCUAAAACUGCUAGACUUGAGUGCAGUAGAG